CACGUAGGGGGCAAGCGUUGUCCGGAUUUAUUGGGCGUAAAGAGCUCGUAGGCGGCUCAGUUAGUCGGGUGUGAAACCCCCGGGCUCAACCCGGGGACGCCACCCGAUACUGCUGUGGCUAGAGUCCGGUAGGGGAGCGUGGAAUUCCUGGUGUAGCGGUGAAAUGCGCAGAUAUCAGGAGGAACACCGGUGGCGAAGGCGGCAUCCUGGACCGGCAUUGACGCUGAGGAGCGAAAGCCAGGGGAGCAAGCGGG
rnacentral:rRNA from 1 species